UAGAAACCUGUAGUUCGCAAUAGGGUUGGUUGUACUCCUAGGGUUUCCAUUACAUUUUGCUUGGAUAAGUAGGUGAUAUCCUUCCGCGCAAGCAGGAAUGGCAAAUACGGUGACAGUUUCAUAUAUUCUUCCAGAAGAUAUUGUGUAGUUGUAACGUUAUUGUGUCGAUCCGAUCGGCGCCUGGAAACACAAGAAAAGACCAAGAAGUACAGUAGAUCAGGUGUUGUCUUGCAGGUGGGGAAGACAAAAUAACACCACCCCACACAAAGGACCAUAGUUGUGGACUGAAAUACCAUGUUUUUGAGUGAAGUGGCCUACAGACUGCCAGACAGCCUUUCUUUAUUCAUAGCUCACACUACAGGAGGUGGGAGGAGGCACCGCAGGCGAUCAGAGGUUCAGCACCAAUUGGAGAAGAAGGACACCCCUCAUAGAUAGCACAGCAUGCCUGCAAGAGAAUCCUUGUCAAAUAAUUAUACCCUACCUUGUUUGCACCAAUUGUAUGCAGCCACUUAGAAACAUCCAGGAUUCUAUACAUCUUACUUGCAGAUCCAAACUGCACUUUUUCAAUCUGAAGAGGCGAUUUUAAUUCAUAAUGCUUUUUUGUUCAACUUUAUAAUUUACUGCAUUAGAUAGGUGCUGUACUCUGCAAUUUGUUAGAGCAUUGAACUACUGAAUAUAACUUUUUUUUCUUGUUAUCAUUUAAAUUUGUUUUCACAUAAACAUUAUUUUAAUAUGUUUACCUUUAGGA